CGCAGCCGCGGUAAUUCCAGCUCCAAUAGCGUAUAUUAAAGUUGUUGCAGUUAAAAAGCUCGUAGUUGAAUUUCGGGGUUUAUCCGUUGGUCGGGCUUUUUGGUCUGUACUGGCGUGAUGGAUUCCUACCUUCUGAAUAACCGGCAUGCCAUUAAUUUGGUGCGCCGGGGAAGCAGGACUGUUACCUUGAAAAAAUUAGAGUGCUUAAAGCAGGCUUAUGCCUGAAUACAUUAGCAUGGAAUAAUGAAAUAGGACGGCAUGGUUCUAUUUUGUUGGUUUCUAGGAUCACCGUAAUGAUUAAUAGGGAUAGUUGGGGGCAUUAGUAUUCAAUUGUCAGAGGUGAAAUUCUUGGAUUUAUUGAAUGACUAACUUCUGCGAAGCAUUUGCCAAGGAUGUUUUCAUUAAUCAAGAACGAAAGUUAGGGGAUCGAAGACGAUCAGAUACCGUCGUAGUCUUAACCAUAAACUAUGCCGACUAGGGGUCGGACGAUGUUAAUUUUUUAAUGACUCGUUCGGCGCCU
rnacentral:rRNA from 1 species